rnacentral:misc_RNA from 1 species
UUUCCGUAGGUGAACCUGCGGAAGGAUCAUUAUUGUAUAACCGAGGUGCUAGGGCUGCCGCUCCCCCGAAAGUUCGUGCACGCCCGAGUGCCCUCACAAACAUCCAUGUCACCCCCAUGUGAACCACCGCGUGGGUCCCCCUUUGGCUCGUUCGGAGGGGGGCUUACGUGUUCACACAAACUUUGUAUGCAGUGUAGAAUGUAUUUUUUGUUUUUGCGAUCCCGAAAUUAAUACAACUUUCAACAACGGAUCUCUUGGCUCUC